GACGAACGCUGGCGGCGUGCUUAACACAUGCAAGUCGAACGGAAAGGCCCUGCUUUUGUGGGGUGCUCGAGUGGCGAACGGGUGAGUAACACGUGAGUAACCUGCCCUUGACUUUGGGAUAAUUUCAGGAAACUGGGGCUAAUACCGGAUAGGAGCUCCUGCUGCAUGGUGGGGGUUGGAAAGUUUCGGCGGUUGGGGAUGGACUCGCGGCUUAUCAGCUUGUUGGUGAGGUAGUGGCUUACCAAGGCUUUGACGGGUAGCCGGCCUGAGAGGGUGACCGGCCACAUUGGGACUGAGAUACGGCCCAGACUCCUACGGGAGGCAGCAGUGGGGAAUAUUGCACAAUGGGCGGAAGCCUGAUGCAGCAACGCCGCGUGCGGGAUGACGGCCUUCGGGUUGUAAACCGCUUUCGCCUGUGACGAAGCGUGAGUGACGGUAAUGGGUAAAGAAGCACCGGCUAACUACGUG
rnacentral:rRNA from 1 species